GAACGCUGGCGGAAUGCUUUACACAUGCAAGUCGAACGGUAGAGGGGGCAACCCCUUGAGAGUGGCGAACGGGUGAGUAAUAUAUCGGAACGUGCCCAGUCGUGGGGGAUAACGUAGCGAAAGUUACGCUAAUACCGCAUACGAUCUAAGGAUGAAAGCGGGGGAUCGCAAGACCUCGCGCGAUUGGAGCGGCCGAUAUCAGAUUAGGUAGUUGGUGAGGUAAAGGCUCACCAAGCCAACGAUCUGUAGCUGGUCUGAGAGGACGACCAGCCACACUGGAACUGAGACACGGUCCAGACUCCUACGGGAGGCAGCAGUGGGGAAUUUUGGACAAUGGACGCGAGUCUGAUCCAGCCAUUCCGCGUGCAGGAUGAAGGCCCUCGGGUUGUAAACUGCUUUGUACGGAACGAAAAGGUUUGUCUUAAUACGAUGAGCUCAUGACGGUACCGUAAGAAUAAGCACCGGCUAACUACGUG
rnacentral:rRNA from 1 species